rnacentral:tRNA from 1 species
AAUUCGUCCAGGUUAGGAUUGUCGCCUUCCAAGCGAUAGGGCUGUGUUCGAUUCCCAGCUCAUCGGGUUG